AGUACAAGAAUUACACUAUCUACCAUGAUUAAUUUUUAAUGAAGUUUAAUAAGCCAUAGUAUACAUGUCAUGUUUGGAAGGAUAUAUUAGAUAUACAAUCUUAUUCAAAGUUUAAAACUCCCAUAUGAAAACAGAGGAGAGGCAAAUGGGAAAAUGGUCAAAAUUGUAAAUUGGAGCAAAUUGAGAUGCUAUGAUGUUCCCCCUUGGUUGGGAAGGGGAGGAAUGACCGUUGUUAUUUCAGGUAAUUGGUCAUCAAAGACAACCUGAAUUGCCUCCUAAAAUGUCGCAAAUAUAAAUCCUAAGAAGGCUCAACCCCCUAACUUAGCUCAUAACCUCUUGGUUUGUCGCCUCUCUCUGGGAACACAGACACUCCCCCAAAAGAAAAACAGAGAGAGAAAUAGAGAGAGAGUAGAAAGAGGAGAGGGGAAGGAAAAAAAAAGAAGAAAGAAAACAAGGAAAAAAAAGGUCAUGAUCUAGGUCUGGUCCAUCCCACCAAGGUCAUGAUCUUUUCAUCUUCAUAGAACAAUUACAGACAGGAUUUUGAAAUCCAAAACAGGGGGUUGGGUUAGAUUUUUUAAUUUUUUAUUCUUUUGCAAGAGAAAGUUAGGGAAAAAAGAAAUAAAGGAACAAUGGCGACGAAACGUUCUUUCACCCGUUUUGUAGAACAGGAGAUGGGAAAGUUCCCACAUUUCGUAGUUUGUGCAGUCCUUGAAUGGGUUCUCAUAAUUUUGCUUUUCAUUGAUGGGUUUGUUGCAUUUUUGGCAAGCGAAUUCGCCAAGUUCUUUGAAUUGCGAGUUCCUUGUUUGUUCUGCACCAGAAUCGACCAUGUUUUUGUUAACAAAAAUGCAGAUUUCUACUACAACAAUGCCAUUUGUGAAAGCCACAAGAAGGAUGUUUCAUCUCUUGCAUAUUGCCACAACCACAAGAAACUCUCUGACAUUCGGAAGAUGUGUGAGGUCUGUCUUCUCUCAUUCGCAACCGAGAAGGAAUCCGAUUGCAAUACCUACAAGUCGCUCGUUGGAAUAUUGCACAAGGAUCUUGAAUGUUUUGUGGAGGACGAUAAUUGUCAAGUUGUGAGCUUGCCGCCCGUGGGGAAGAAAGAUGAAGGCCUGCAAAUGGAGAAAGUGGGUGGUGGUGGUGAUGAUUGUUGUUGUUCAUGUUGUGGGGAAUCAUUGAAGGUUAAAUCCUCCAAUUCAAAAGGGAAAAAUGGGAGUACCUUUUCACAAGCUCCUGCUCCUUCGCCACGAGCUGGGUUUGUGCCUGCUUUCAGAAACGAGGACAAAACUAGCUUGGAAUUACCGCACGUUAAUUAUACCGAACUCAAAUUGUUGUCAGAUAGUGAGUCGGAGUUCGUCGAAGACGAUGAAGGUUUACAUGGAAGAAAUCUUGACGCUCAUCAAUUUAAGGAGGAUGUGAAACCUGUUAAAGUGCCAUUGUUACCUGAACCUGAGGAUGUGCAUGAAAGUUCGAGGACCCCCAUCUUUGGUAGAGGAAACAAAUUUUUUGGUAUCCCACUUACGGAUUCUGAUAAUACCAGUCCCAGAUGGGCUAUUAGGAUCUCUAGAAAAUCACCACUUGAAAGACCAGAGCUCCCAGCUGAGAAUUAUGAAGCAGAUAUGUUGGGGCCAGGAGACAAUGAUUCCAUUUUGAAUUGCUUGAAAAGACAAGUUCGGAUAGAUCGAAAAUCGCUCAUGGAGUUAUACAUGGAACUGGACGAAGAAAGAAGCGCUUCAGCCGUGGCAGCAAACAAUGCAAUGGCCAUGAUUACUCGCUUACAAGCCGAAAAGGCGGCCGUUCAGAUGGAAGCUUUGCAGUACCAAAGAAUGAUGGAAGAACAGGAAGAGUAUGACCAGGAAGCCUUACAAGCUACAAACGAUUUGCUUGCUAAGAGAGAGGAAGAAAUCAGGGACUUGGAGGUUGAACUUGAAGCUUACAGAGAAAAAUAUGGAUACCUUGAGGAAGGUUGUCUUCAGAUGUCUGAAGGAGAGAUGUCUGAUGAAGAUUACCAAGAAUUCAAGUCACAAGUCUAUUUAUCUUCUGAUGAGAAAUCUGAAUGUAAUACACCUUUUAGUCUCAAUGGAAGAGAGAAGGAAAAUUUUAAGAAUUUUGACAGGACGAUUAUACCCUCCGGGUUGAAAAUUGAAAGAGAAAAUAGCAAAGAAGAAAGUACAAACAAUCAUGGGGUAGCCUUGCCAUUCUCCCAAGGGAAGGCUGAAGGAGAAGAUAGCAAAGAAGACAGUACAAACAAUCAUGGGGUAGCCUUGCCAUUCUCCCAAGGGAAGGCUGAAGGAGAAGAUAGCAAAGAAGACAGUACAAACAAUCAUGGGGUAGCCUUGCCAUUCUCCCAAGGGGAGGCUGAAGGAGAAGAUAGCAAAGAAGAAAGUACAAACAAUCAUGAGGUAGCCCUGCCAUUCUCCCAAGGGAAGUCUGAAGGAGAAGAUAGCAAAGAAAAAAGUAUAAACAAUCAUGGCGUAACCCUGCCAUUCUCCCAAGGGAAGGCUGAAGGAGAAGAUAGCAAAGAAGAAAGUACAAACAAUCAUGCGGUCCAAGGAGAAGAUAGCAAAGAAGAAGGUACAAACAAUCAUGGGGUAGCCCUGACAUUCUCCCAAGGGGAGGCUGAAGGAGAAGAUAGCAAAGAAGAAAGUACAAUCAAUCAUGGGGUGGCCCUGCCAUUCUCCCAAGGGAAGGCUGAAGGAGAAGAUAGCAAAGAAGAAAGUACAGACAAUCAUGGGGUAGCCUUGCCAUCCCAAGGGAAGGCUGAAGGAGAAGAUAGCAAAGAAGAAAGUACAAACAAUCAUGGGGUAGCCUUGCCAUCCAAAGGGAAGGCUGAAGGAGAAGAUAGCAAAGAAGAAAGUACAAACAAGCAUGGGGUAGCCCUGCCAUUCUCCCAAGGGAAGGCUGAAGGAGAAGAUAGCAAAGAAGUAAGUACAAACAAUCAUGGGGUAGCCCUGCCAUUCUCCCAAGGGAAGGCUGAAGGAGAAGAUAGCAAAGAAGUACGUACAAACAAUCAUGGGGUAGCUCUGCCAUUCUCCCAGGGGAAGGCUGAAGGAGAAGAUAGCAAAGAAGUACGUACAAACAAUCAUGGGGUAGCUCUGCCAUUCUCCCAGGGGAAGGCUGAAGGAGAAGAUAGCAAAGAAGUAAGUACAAACAAUCAUGGGGUAGCCUUGGCAUUCUCCCGAGGGAAGGCUGAAGGAGAAGACCAAAAUGAACCACUGACAAACUUUAAAGGAGAAAAAACAUAUCUUUUAGGCCGCUUGAAAAGGUCAAAGAAGAACAUUAACUCCUUAUCCUCAGAGGAUCUAGCUUCGUCCCUGCAACCAAGAUCUGCCAGUGUCAACCGAGUAGAUGAAGUUACAGGAAAAGGAAGAGCUCUGACCCGAAAGCUCUCUCAUCUUAACGAGUUCAAGAUCAUGAGAGUACUCAAAGCAGACAACGAAAUCUCCAAGCAUGAAGGAAAAGUAUCUUUAGCUGAGACUUCUCACAAUUUAGGGAAACCUCAAAACCUUGUCGACCAGAAUAACAGUGAUUCUUAACUUCCCAUAUUGUUUGUUUUAUUUCUAGGAUGUACAUAGUGUUGUAUGACGCGCUGAAUAUAGAUAUAAAGCUCCUUGAAGCUCAGCAGCUGCUAACUUCUUCCAUAGCAAUGCAGAGCUAAAAACCAUAUUCGGCUGCCAGCGAUGGGUGUAGAAGGCUUUCCUUUUUCUUUUCUAUUACUUUACUAUUCAUCAGCAGAGUGGAAAUGGUGUUCAAGAAAGUGCUUUUGGAUUUACACAUCAAAAGCCACAGAACAAGGGAAAGAAAAAAGGCCAAUAUUCCUUCUUUUUGAGGGCAUAGUUGGACUAAUGAUAGAACCUCAAGGGAAAAUCACUCAAGGGAAAAUCAGAAAAGGCAAGGCGUUCGGGCUUCCAUCCCAUUUACAACGAGACAAACGUUAGCGUUGUAUGAUGCAAGAAGAGUUCUUUAAAGUCAUAAUCAUCCCCUCCCCCUUAAAUGUCUUUUCGAGUUUACUAAAAUGACAGCAAUAUGCAAGGAAUUUUGAUUGGUUUCAUCCCAUAUACUACUUCAAAACUUGGAGAGGGAAGACGCCAGUCCUUUUUAAACGCAAAGAGAUAUCUUUUUCUUUGUCA